UACGGAGGAGGCAAGCGUUAUCCGGAAUUAUUGGGCGUAAAGCGUCCGCGGGUGGCACAUCAAGUCUGCCGUCAAAGACCGGGGCUUAACCCUGGAAAGGCGGUGGAAACUGAAUUGCUAGAGUGUCGUAGGGGUAGAGGGAAUUCCCGGUGUAGCGGUGAAAUGCGUAGAGCUCGGGAAGAACAUCGGUGGCGAAAGCGCUCUACUGGACGACAACUGACACUCAGGGACGAAAGCUAGGGGAGCGAAUGGG
rnacentral:rRNA from 1 species